CAUACAGCUCAGUAACACGUGGCUAAUCUGCCCUUAGGACGAGAACAACCCCGGGAAACUGGGGCUAACCCCCGAUAGGCGAAGAGCUCUGGAAUGAGCCUUCACCCAAACAGCAGCCAGGCUAUGCUUCUGGUUGUCGCUCGAGGAUGGGGCCGCGACCGAUCAGGUUGUUGGUGAGGUAACGGCUCACCAAGCCUAUAACCGGUGCGGGCCGUGGGAGCGGGAGCCCGGAGAUGGGCACUGAGACAAGGGCCCAGGCCCUACGGGGCGCAGCAGUCGCGCAAACUUUGCAAUACACGAAAGUGUGACAGGGCUAUCCCGAGUGCCGUCCGCUGAGGAUGGCUUUUACCCAGUCUAGAACGCUGGGGGAAUAAGGAGAGGGCAAGUCUGGUGUCAGCCGCCGCGGUAAUACCAGCUCUCCGAGUGGUGUGGAUGUUUAUUGGGCCUAAAGCAUCCGUAGCUGGCCAAGCCAGUCCCUUGUUAAACCCACCGAAUUAAUCGUUGGAUUGCGGGGGAUACUGCUCGGCUAGGGGACGAGAGAGGCAGACGGUAUUUUCGGGGUAGGGGUGAAAUCCUAUAAUCCCGGGAAGACCACCAGUGGCGAAGGCUGUCUGCUAGAACGCGCCCGACGGUGAGGGAUGAAAGCUGGGGGAGCGAACC
rnacentral:rRNA from 1 species